rnacentral:rRNA from 1 species
GGGCCCGCACAAGCGGUGGAUGAUGUGGUUUAAUUCGACGCAACGCGAAAAACCUUACCUACCCUUGACAUGUGAGGAACCCUGCAGAGAUGCAGGGGUGCCCGAAAGGGAACCUCAACACAGGUGCUGCAUGGCUGUCGUCAGCUCGUGUCGUGAGAUGUUGGGUUAAGUCCCGCAACGAGCGCAACCCUUGCCAUUAGUUGCUACAUUCAGUUGAGCACUCUAAUGGGACUGCCGGUGACAAACCGGAGGAAGGUGGGGAUGACGUCAAGUCCUCAUGGCCCUUAUGGGUAGGGCUACACACGUCAUACAAUGGCGCGUACAGAGGGUUGCCAACCCGCGAGGGGGAGCCAAUCCCAGAAAGCGCGUCGUAGUCCGGAUUGAAGUCUGCAACUCGACUUCAUGAAGUCGGAAUCGCUAGUAAUCGCGGAUCAGCAUGUCGCGGUGAAUACGUUCCCGGGCCUU